GUUAAUCUGUCUCGCUCAUUCCCAUGGACUAUUUCACCAUCUUCGUCAUUAGGGGUACUAAUGGGUGGAGUCAGUCUACGUGCAAUGUACGUUGGCAGCCAUAUUUUAAACAAUCUGUUCCUUUGUUCGUCAUUUAGGCUGUAUUUGUCCAAAUUAGACUCAAACAUUUCAGCAUUAGUAAAUGCAUCCACUGACGUGUCAUAAACUGGAAUACAUUUCACAAUUUUCAUUAAUUGUUCAUGUAUUUUCAAAUUAAGUUUUGCAGUUCUGUCUUGAAAUUUACAUUUCUGCAAAUUACUCUGUGAGGAUACAUUUUCAGUAUCUAUUGGUUCUGGGAUUAGAUUCUGUGACUUUAUUUUUCUUGUAUUAACACACACUAGUUUAGCUUCAUUUCUAAACUGGCAAAUAAGAUCAUUUCUUAGUUCAACUCUAUCCUCUAAUUCACAGACUGUUUCUGACAAUGUUCUCUCUGUUACAUUGUUACACUGUUCAUUUAAAUCUGAUUUGUCUUCUGUUAACCCAUUCAAAUCUAUUUCUUUAUCUGCUGAUUCUAAAUUUUCUUGACCUGCAUCUCGUUUACAAAUCAAUGCAUUGUAAGUACAGACUAGUUUCAUAACAUUUCUGAUCUUUUGUUUUUUCUUAUUAACAAACAAUUUCUUGGCAAUUUCACAUUGUGUGUAUAAAGAUUGCCACAAUACAGCAUCUGAAUAGCUGCUAUUACAUGCAAACUGCAAUUUACUUUUCUCUGCAAUAUCAUUU